rnacentral:rRNA from 1 species
CACCCUACGGGAGGCAGCAGUGGGGAAUAUUGGGCAAUGGACGCAAGUCUGACCCAGCAACGCCGCGUGAAGGAAGAAGGCUUUCGGGUUGUAAACUUCUUUUAAGGGGGAAGAGCAGAAGACGGUACCCCUUGAAUAAGCCACGGCUAACUACGUGCCAGCAGCCGCGGUAAUACGUAGGGAGCGAGCGUUGUCCGGAAUUACUGGGUGUAAAGGGAGCGUAGGCGGGGAUGCAAGUUGGGUGUCAAAACUACCGGCUCAACUGGUAGUCGCACUCAAAACUGCAGCUCUUGAGUGAAGUAAAG